rnacentral:tRNA from 1 species
ACUCUUUUAGUAUAAUGAAUACGACUGACUUCCAAUUAGUAAAUUCUGAUUAAGCUUCAGAAGAGAGUA